UACAGAGGGUGCAAGCGUUAAUCGGAGUUACUGGGCGUAAAGGGCGCGUAGGCGGCCGUUUAAGUUAGAUGUGAAAUCCCUGGGCUUAACCUAGGAACUGCAUUUAAGACUGGACGGCUGGAGUACAGUAGAGGGCAGUGGAAUUUCCGGGUGUAGUGGUGAAAUGCGUAGAGAUCCGGAGGAACACCAGUGGCGAAGGCGACACGCUGGGCCGUACCUGACGCUAAAACGCGACAGCAUGGGGAGCGAACGGG
rnacentral:rRNA from 1 species